GUCCCGUCUCCGUGUCGUCAGUCCAUAACGUCCGAGACGUUCCAUCAUUGCGCCACCAAGGUCUACCGAAACCAGCGGACAAAAAAUUCAACCCGCUGCAACACUUCAAAAGUAGCCCAAUUCCGCGGGAAAACCGCGGACCUGGCAACACUGGAGAGGCCUCACAGACGGCCACAACGCUCCCCGACGCCUCGGAGGGAGCCAACGAGGGACCAGCGCAGACCCGGGUGACGAGAGGACUUCAGCGGCCACCAGGACCAGAGAGUCCAGCCACGGGAACAGCCCACGGAGCCCUUUUAAACGGGGAGUGCGGAGUUUCCCAGGCGCCCUGAACUCACCACCGACAGAACGGAGAUUUGCAGCAGGUUUCCAUUGGGUUGUGUCUGGAGCCGGUCCAGUCUCCUUGCCCCUGCCUCCUGCCUCCUGCCUCCUUGCCCCUGCCUCCUAUCUCC